CAUCUGUUUGCUAGUACUGUGAGAAAACGUGCUCAUCGAAGAGGUCUGGAUGCUUAAACAAACGCUGGAGCUGCUUUUUUUGUCGAACACGAGGUUGAACACACCUGCAGCGUGAAGGUUUACUCAUUCAGCUGCUGCAGCCUGAUCAGAAACACCAGCUCUCACCUCACAAACCAAACAGGUGUCACCACUUCGUACAUGAUCGCAGAGAGUCUUCGUACAGUGAAGUUCUCUGAAACCAGGACAGAGGCCUCCAGGAAUCAAGCUUCAACCAUUAAAUCACAGAGAGAAGAGACAAAUGUGAAGACAUUUCCAGAAGGUCUUCAGCUGCUGUCGUCUUCUCCUCCUGCAGAGACAAGAACACGUGUUAAUCACAGAAACUUAUCAGUAAAUCUAUUUUAUCUUUCCUAAACUGACCUUAUUCAUUGUUGAUACCUAAUCACAGUGAUUUAAACUAAACUUUUUACAACUCAUUCAGUAUCACAUAAUUUUGGAUGUUUUUUGAAGCCUUACUAUACUAUGACAUUUCUAUGGCUUACUAAGACAAUUCUUUAACCAUUUUUGAUG